rnacentral:tRNA from 1 species
GGAGGUGUAGGCUAAUUGGUAAGUCAGCGGUUUUGAAAACCGCCGUCCGUGAGGACUUGGGAGUUCGAGUCUCUCCACCUCCG